rnacentral:rRNA from 1 species
CCGCUGAACUUAAGCAUAUCAAUAAGCGGAGGAAAAGAAACCAACAGGGAUUGCNUCAGUAACGGCGAGUGAAGCGGCAACAGCUCAAAUUUGAANUCUGGCUCUUUCAGGGCCCGAGUUGUAAUUUGUAGAGGAUGCUUCGGCGUUGGCUCCGGUCUAAGUUCCUUGGAACAGGACGUCACAGAGGGUGAGAAUCCCGUAUGUGAUCGGUUGCCUUUGCCAUGUGAAGCUCCUUCGACGAGUCGAGUUGUUUGGGAAUGCAGCUCUAAAUGGGAGGUAAAUUUCUUCUAAAGCUAAAUACCGGCCAGAGACCGAUAGCGCACAAGUAGAGUGAUCGAAAGAUGAAAAGCACUUUGGAAAGAGAGUCAAAAAGUACGUGAAAUUGUUGAAAGGGAAGCGCUUGCAACCAGACCUGCCUGCAGUUGUUCAUCCGGGCUUUUGCCCGGUGCACUCUUCUGCUGUCAGGCCAGCAUCAGUUCGGGCGGUCGGAUAAAGGCUUUGGGAAUGUAGCUCCUCUCGGGGAGUGUUAUAGCCCGUUGCGAAAUGCGGCCAGCCUGGACUGAGGUCCGCGCUUCGGCUAGGAUGCUGGCGUAAUGGUUGUAAGCGGCC